rnacentral:rRNA from 1 species
AGAGUUUGAUCCUGGCUCAGGACGAACGCUGGCGGCGUGCCUAAUACAUGCAAGUCGAGCGAACCAAUGGGAGCUUGCUCCCUGAGGUUAGCGGCGGACGGGUGAGUAACACGUGGGUAACCUGCCUGUAAGAUUGGGAUAACUCCGGGAAACCGGAGCUAAUACCGGAUAACAUUUCGAACCGCAUGGUUCGAAGUUGAAAGAUGGUUUCGGCUAUCACUUACAGAUGGACCCGCGGCGCAUUAGCUAGUUGGUGAGGUAACGGCUCACCAAGGCGACGAUGCGUAGCCGACCUGAGAGGGUGAUCGGCCACACUGGGACUGAGACACGGCCCAGACUCCUACGGGAGGCAGCAGUAGGGAAUCUUCCGCAAUGGACGAAAGUCUGACGGAGCAACGCCGCGUGAACGAUGAAGGCCUUCGGGUCGUAAAGUUCUGUUGUUAGGGAAGAACAAGUACCAGAGUAACUGCUGGUACCUUGACGGUACCUAACCAGAAAGCCACGGCUAACUACGUGCCAGCAGCCGCGGUAAUACGUAGGUGGCAAGCGUUGUCCGGAAUUAUUGGGCGUAAAGCGCGCGCAGGCGGUUUCUUAAGUCUGAUGUGAAAGCCCACGGCUCAACCGUGGAGGGUCAUUGGAAACUGGGGAACUUGAGUGCAGAAGAGGAGAGUGGAAUUCCACGUGUAGCGGUGAAAUGCGUAGAGAUGUGGAGGAACACCAGUGGCGAAGGCGACUCUCUGGUCUGUAACU